GGUAAUAGCUCAGUGGUAGAGCGCGUGCUUAGCAUGCACGAGGUCCUGGGUUCAAUCCCCAGGACCA
rnacentral:tRNA from 1 species